CAAGUUUCAACCCCAACCCCCCUCAAUGGGUUCUCUCUCUCUCCGGCUUGUUUCCCCCUUCCUCUGGCGGUGGCUUCAAGGCCUUUUGGUCAGGAAGAAAAAUAUACAGGAAUGAACAAGGAUGUGCCUGCAUUCGCCAGUGGAAUGCUUGGGAAGGAUGCCAUGGCCAGAUGCUCAGAGAUCUCCUGAAUCUUUAAAAAAAAUUGAUAGAAUGUCUACCAUAAAUAACACUUUGGUAUCUGAUAAAGAGGAUUCAGACCAGGAAAGGUUAGGAGCUCCAGAAGACAGCCUUCCACCUUGGCCUAGAUGAUCAAGAGCUGGCACAAGCAAUGCAGACUAUCUGGACAAUGAAGCUUCACUUCAAUCAGAGCAAGCAGAUGCUGGAAAAAGACCUCUUUUCUUUGUACAGUAUGACAAUGGCAAGUUAGAUAUGAGCAGAGGUGUAUCUAACACUUUGUGCACUGAUUACCAGA